AGCCAGAAAAUGUUUUAUUGUGUUCCUCGUAUGACGAAACGCUUGUAAAGAUCAGAAUUCCUAUAUGGAAACAAUCUGUGGUACACCAAGUUACCUCGCUACCAAAAUGUUAAUCCCGUAGCCCGAAGAACGAUCCUACAAGAAAUCGUGUGUUAUAUGUUUGGUAUGCCAUAUACUUCAGUUUACUCAAAUUCACGUAGUGAACACGAUUUGUAAUGAAGCUGGAGCAGGCAAAUAACCCAUUGGAGAAACAAGUUAAAGAAGGGUCGUAUAAAU